rnacentral:rRNA from 1 species
AGUUUGAUCAUGGCUCAGGAUUAACGCUGGCGGUAUGCCUAACACAUGCAAGUCGAACGGAAUACUAAUUAAGAGAAUCUCACACUAGUGAGAGGUUCUCACGAGUAGUAUUUAGUGGCGGACGGGUGAGUAACACGUUGGAACCUGCCCCGAAGUGGGGAAUAACUGCUCGAAAGAGUAGCUAAUACCCCAUAGUAUCCGGUUUAUCCGGAUUAAAGAUUUAUCGCUUCGGGAGGGGCCUGCGUCUGAUUAGCUUGUUGGUGAGGUAAAAGCUCACCAAGGCGACGAUCAGUAGCUGGUUCGAGAGGAUGACCAGCCACACUGGGACUGAGAUACGGCCCAGACUCCUACGGGAGGCAGCAGUGAGGAAUCUUCCACAAUGGACGAAAGUCUGAUGGAGCAAUACCGCGUGCAGGAAGACGCUUUUCGGAGUGUAAACUGCUUUUGUCGUCGAAGAUUAUGACUGUAGACGAAGAAUAAGGACCGGCUAACUACGUG